rnacentral:rRNA from 1 species
GAUGAACGCUGGCGGCGUGCCUAAUACAUGCAAGUCGAGCGAACAGACGAUAAGCUUGCGCCUCUGACGUUAGCGGCGGACGGGUGGGUGACACGUACAUAACCUACCUCUAAGACGUGGAUAACUUCGUGGAACCGGAUCUACUACCAGCUCAUAUGUUGAACCGCUUGGUGCAAUAGUUCUAGGCGCUUUUGCCGUUACUUAUAGAUGAAUCCGCGCCGCAUUAGCUAGUUGGUAAGGUAACGGCUUACCAAGGCAACGAUGCGUAGCCGAUCUGAGAGGGUGAUCGGCCACACUGGAACUGAGACACGGUCCAGACUCCUACGGGAGGCAGCAGUAGGGAAUCUUCCGCAAUGGGCGAAAGCCUGACGGAGCAACGCCGCGUGAGUGAUGAAGGUCUUCGGAUCGUAAAGCUCUGUUAUUAGGGAAGAACAAAUGUGUAAGUAACUAUGCACGUCUUGACGGUACCUAAUCAGAAAGCCACGGCUAACUACGUG